GUGAUUCCAAUAUUCAAACGUUUGUUUGCAAAUGCAAAGGAUGCGAAGAAUUUGCAAUGGCAUGCUAUUGGCCAAAAGUCAAAAGUAUAGGGAGUUGCAAGCGCGAAAUGAGCAUCCCCACUAUUUAGGGUCUAGGGGCUAUGUUGGAAAGCAAUCUGAGUGGUUGAUAUCCGACCCAUUGUCUUCACAAUAUUCUUGUGUUG